UGUAUGAGUGUUAAAUACCUGUCAUAAAGCUAGAUAACCGAAAGUAGAAAUGACUUCCGUAACGUAGUGUUCAUUCCCGAAUAAAGAGGGCACUCCUCAGGCUUUAAACUCAGAAAGCUUUCGAUUAACAACGUUGAAUGAUCGGGGAUUCCUGAAAAAGAGGGUAGAACCGUGAUUAAAAGAAAACGAGGAGAGAGGGAGUGAAAAACGGUCGGUUUGGAAUUGCCACCUCCUCCUUUCCCCUCCCCCCGCACCUCACCCUUUUUACCCAAGAGCCUCUCAUGCCAUCUGGACUGCCAACGGGGGACACUUUGCCCGUGCCAGGAGGCGGACAAAGACCCCGCCGGAUCCCUGGAGUAUGGGCGCGCUCAGAGGAGCCAUCUUGGGAGAUGUUGCCGCGACACCUAAAAUGGCUGGGCUGGCAUACGAGGAUGGGACAGGAUCUGCACUCUGUAGGAACCUUCUUGGCCACGAGGAGAUUAUGGACCAAACUCAACGAAGUGCUGUGAAUGAGAAAAGUCGUAGUUGAUGUUAAAAGACUGAAGAAACAAAAGAGAUAAUCUGGAAGGCUGAAAUGUGUAAAUUAAAAUAUGUUAUCCUUAAAAAUCCCAACUCUACAUUUCUGUGUUAAGGAUAAAGUGUGUGAUUUGACAUGUAAACGGAUCUGUUAUUGUCAAAAUUGCAAAUAAAAAAACCUCACUCAGUACAUUAUGCAUUUUCAUAGCUGAUGAAUGUAUAAGUUAAUAAUUUAUAAAUUAAAUGUUCUCAUAUGUUUCAAUUGAAAUAGUAAUUCAUAGAAUUGAAAUGCACUACUGAUGUUUCAAGUUCACUGACGGCACUUUAAAAUAAAGCAAAAUAAUGGAA